rnacentral:misc_RNA from 1 species
GAUGAAGAACGCAGCGAAAUGCGAUACUUGGUGUGAAUUGCAGAAUCCCGUGAACCAUCGAGUCUUUGAACGCAAGUUGCGCCUCAAGCCAUUAGGUUGAGGGCACGUCUGCCUGGGCGUCACAUAUCGUUGCCUGAUGCCAGUUUCCUCGUGAUGGGUGACUGUGCAGGGCGAAUGAUGGCUUCCCGUGAGCAUUGUUGCCUCAUGGUUGGUUGAAAAUUGAGUCCUUGGUAGGGAGCGCCGUGAUAGAUGGUGGUUGAGUGACGAACGAGACCCAAUCAUGUGAGACUCCUACCGAAUUUGGCCUUCAUGACCCACAUGCGUCUUUGGAACGCUCAUGACGAGACCUCAGGUCAGGCGGGGCUACCCGCUGAGUUUAAGCAUAUCAAUAAGCGGAGGA